CCCUAGUAACUGCGAGUGAAGCGGGAAAAGCUCAAAUUUAAAAUCUGGCGGUUUAUUAGCCGUCCGAGUUGUAGUCUGGAGAAGUGCUUUCCGCGCUGGACCGUGUACAAGUCCCUUGGAACAGGGCGUCAUAGAGGGUGAGAAUCCCGUCUUUGACACGGACUACCAGUGCUUUGUGAUGCGCUCUCAAAGAGUCGAGUUGUUUGGGAAUGCAGCUCAAAAUGGGUGGUAAAUUCCAUCUAAAGCUAAAUACAGGCGAGAGACCGAUAGCGAACAAGUACCGUGAGGGAAAGAUGAAAAGCACUUUGGAAAGAGAGUUAAACAGUACGUGAAAUUGCUGAAAGGGAAACGCUUGAAGUCAGUCGCGUUGUCCGGAAAUCAGCCUUGCUUUUUUUUGCUUGGUGUAUUUUCUGGUUGACGGGCCAGCAUCGAUUUUGACCGUUGGAUAAAGGUGAGGGGAAUGUGGCACCUUCGGGUGUGUUAUAGCCCCUUGUCACAUACAACGGCUGGGAUCGAGGAACUCAGCACGCCUUUUAUGGUCGGGGUUCGCCCACGUUCGUGCUUAGGAUGCUGGCAUAAUGGCUUUAAACGACCCGUCUUGAAACACGGACCAAGGAGUCUAACAUACCUGCGAGUGUUUGGGUGGUAAACCCGAGCGCGUAAUUAAAGUAAAAGUUGAGAUCCCCUUCACAAGGGAGCAUCGACGCCCGGACUUGACCUUCUGUGAUAGCUCUGCGGUAGAGCAUGUAUGUUGGGACCCGAAAGAUGGUGAACUAUGCCUGAAUAGGGUGAAGCCAGAGGAAACUCUGGUGGAGGCUCGUAGCGAUUCUGACGUGCAAAUCGAUCGUCAAAUUGGGUAUAGGGGCGAAAG
rnacentral:rRNA from 1 species